rnacentral:lncRNA from 1 species
CAUUCUCCAAUGAUGUGAUCCCGUUAAUCAAAUGACAACUCAUGUCUAUAGUCAGGAAACAUAACCAUCAUUGAUUCAACGAGCUAGUCAAGUAGAGGCAUACUAGUGACACUCUAUUUGUCUAUGUAUUCACACAUGUACUAAGUUUCCGGUUAAUACAAUUCUAGCAUGAAUAAUAAACAUUUAUCAUGAUAUAAGGAAAUAUAAAUAACAACUUUAUUAUUGUCUCUAGGGCAUAUUUCCUUCAAUUUUCUGUUAUGUCAUACCCACACAUAACUUUGGCUUCAGCCAUGUCAUCUAUCUGCCUCAUUAUCUGUUGCAGCACAUGUAAAACUGGCAUCAUUAUUUCUACAAGAUCUGAAAGAAGCAAAAGAAAAACCGACCGGCCAACCUUGCUCCAAAAAUCAUACAAGAGGAAAAAGAAAAGAAAAUUCAAGCAAGAACAAACACCUAAUGAGCCUGAACGAACUGACAGAGGCACAAAUUAAAAACUCAAAAAAGCAAAACAAGAACCGACCAAACAACCUUCCUUCAAAUCUCAUACAAGAGAAGAAAGAAAGGAAAAUCAAAGAGACAUAAGAACAAAACACCUCACGAGCAUGAACGAACUGACAGACGCAUAAAUCAAAAAUCAACACACACACACAUCCAUGAGCACGCAUAAGCAGACCAGAAACGGUACCUUGACGACGACGAGGACCGGAGAACAGAGAGACGAACAAGACGAGCGAUGGAUGAACAGGUCAGCGAAGGACCACCUGCGAACACACAACAUCGAUGACCGCUAAGCGCACCAGUGAUAGGUAAGAGAAGAGAAGAACAUCAAGAAAACUCAUCCAAGGGAGAACAGCCCACCUUCAUGGCGAUGUGGAGGCGAAGUACAGCGACGGGCGGAAGCGAUGUGGAGGCGUAGUACAGCGGCAGGCGGAGCGAGGCGGAAGGAGGAACAAAGGACGAGAGCGGCCCGCGUAUAUAAGGAGGAGACGCCACGCAAGAUAGUGAUUCGUAGGUAAG